GUGGGGAAUAUUGGACAAUGGGCGAAAGCCUGAUCCAGCCAUGCCGCGUGAGUGAUGAAGGCCUUAGGGUUGUAAAGCUCUUUUGUCCGGGAAGAUAAUGACUGUACCGGAAGAAUAAGCCCCGGCUAACUUCGUGCCAGCAGCCGCGGUAAUACGAAGGGGGCUAGCGUUGCUCGGAAUCACUGGGCGUAAAGGGCGCGUAGGCGGACUUUUAAGUCGGAGGUGAAAGCCCAGGGCUCAACCCUGGAAUUGCCUUCGAUACUGGGAGUCUUGAGUUCGGAAGAGGUUGGUGGAACUGCGAGUGUAGAGGUGAAAUUCGUAGAUAUUCGCAAGAACACCGGUGGCGAAGGCGGCCAACUGGUCCGAAACUGACGCUGAGGCGCGAAAGCGUGGGGAGCAAACAGGAUUAGAAACCCGAGUAGUCC
rnacentral:rRNA from 1 species